AAUGGCUCAUUAAAUCAGUUAUAGUUUAUUUGAUGGUGUCCGUUUAGGUUACGUGGAUAACCGUGGUAAUUCUAGAGCUAAUACAUGCAAAAUGUCCCGACUCGUUUGUUGCGGAAGGGACGUAUUUAUUAGAUCCAAAGCCAAUGCGGGGUUAGGUUGGACUCUUGUCGUCCUUCCCCGGUUACGUUGGUGAUUCAUGGUAACUGCUCGAAUCGCUGUGCCUCCGAGCCGGCGAUGGUUCAUUCAAGUUUCUGCCCUAUCAACUUUCGAUGGUAGGGUAUUGGCCUACCAUGGUCGCAACGGGUGACGGAGAAUUAGGGUUCGAUUCCGGAGAGGGAGCCUGAGAAACGGCUACCACAUCCAAGGAAGGCAGCAGGCGCGCAAAUUACCCAAUCCCGACUCGGGGAGGUAGUGACAAUAAAUAACAAUGCCGGUCCCUAUAGUGGUCCGGCAAUUGGAAUGAGUACAAUCCAAACCCCUUAACGAGGAACAAUUGGAGGGCAAGUCUGGUGCCAGCAGCCGCGGUAAUUCCAGCUCCAAUAGCGUAUAUUAAAGUUGUUGCAGUUAAAAAGCUCGUAGUUGGAUUUCGGGGCCCCAGACGUCGUCGUUCGGGUCCCGCCUUCGGCGGGUAACUGUCCGUUGGUGGGUUCGGUUGGCGUCGUCGGUCUCUGAGUCGGAUCGGUCCGUCGAGAGGCGAGCACUGACCGACGGCCUCUGUUUGUCUCUCGGGGUUCCCGUCUGCUCUUGAGUGCAGCGGUCGGGGAGUUCGGGACGUUUACUUUGA
rnacentral:rRNA from 1 species